UUAGCUUAUAUUUGUAUGGAAUGGGAUCGUUUGCCUGCGUUUGCCGUUAGGGGCGCUGUUUCAACUCCAUACAAAAUUGAGUUA
rnacentral:pre_miRNA from 1 species